CUGGGGGUGAAAGGCCAAUCAAACCGGGAGAUAGCUGGUUCUCCCCGAAAGCUAUUUAGGUAGCGCCUCGUGAAUUCAUCUCCGGGGGUAGAGCACUGUUUCGGCUAGGGGGCCAUCCCGGCUUACCAACCCGAUGCAAACUGCGAAUACCGGAGAAUGUUAUCACGGGAGACACACGGCGGGUGCUAACGUCCGUCGUGAAGAGGGAAACAACCCAGACCGCCAGCUAAGGUCCCAAAGUCAUGGUUAAGUGGGAAACGAUGUGGGAAGGCCCAGACAGCCAGGAUGUUGGCUUAGAAGCAGCCAUCAUUUAAAGAAAGCGUAAUAGCUCACUGGUCGAGUCGGCCUGCGCGGAAGAUGUAACGGGGCUAAACCAUGCACCGAAGCUGCGGCAGCGAACGUAUCACCCAAGACAACUUUACGGAGUUGACGAUUGACGGAGCGAAGCGACGUCAAAGCGUUCAUUAAAGUCGAGUUGGCUUAGGGAUACGUUCGUUGGGUAGGGGAGCGUUCUGUAAGCCUGUGAAGGUGUGUCGUGAGGCAUGCUGGAGGUAUCAGAAGUGCGAAUGCUGACAUAAGUAACGAUAAAGCGGGUGAAAAGCCCGCUCGCCGGAAGACCAAGGGUUCCUGUCCAACGUUAAUCGGGGCAGGGUGAGUCGACCCCUAAGGCGAGGCCGAAAGGCGUAGUCGAUGGGAAACGGGUUAAUAUUCCCGUACUUGGUGUUACUGCGAAGGGGGGACGGAGAAGGCUAUGUUGGCCGGGCGACGGUUGUCCCGGUUUAAGCGUGUAGGUGUGUGUUCCAGGUAAAUCCGGUUCACUUUAACACUGAGGCGUGACGACGAGGCACUACGGUGCUGAAGCAACAAAUGCCCUGCUUCCAGGAAAAGCCUCUAAGCAUCAGGUAACAUCAAAUCGUACCCCAAACCGACACAGGUGGUCAGGUAGAGAAUACCAAGGCGCUUGAGAGAACUCGGGUGAAGGAACUAGGCAAAAUGGUGCCGUAACUUCGGGAGAAGGCACGCUGACACGUAGGUGAAGUGAUUUACUCA
rnacentral:rRNA from 1 species